ACCGUCAUAUCCACCUUCUCCGGCGCCCUUCUAUCCUCCUUCACCUGCCCCAUCGUAUCCACCUUCUCCUGCACCCUCCUACCCUCCUUCGCCCGCCCCAUCGUAUCCACCUUCUCCGGCGCCCUCCUAUCCGCCUUCACCUGCCCCAUCGUAUCCACCUUCUCCUGCACCCUCCUACCCUCCUUCACCCGCCCCAUCGUAUCCACCUUCUCCGGCGCCCUCCUAUCCUCCUUCACCUGCCCCAUCGUAUCCACCUUCUCCUGCACCCUCCUACCCUCCUUCACCCGCCCCAUCGUAUCCACCUUCUCCGGCGCCCCUCUACCCUCCCUCUCCUGCCCCAUCGUAUCCACCUUCUCCGGCGCCCCUCUACCCUCCCUCUCCUGCUCCGCCGUUUCCCGCACCACCCAGUCCUCCUUCGCCAGGAGCGCCUCGUCCGCCCCGCCCUCCUCCUCCGCCCCCCCCUUCACCCAGGCCC
rnacentral:lncRNA from 1 species